ACAUUUUUCAUUCGUGCCUGUAUUUUGCUGAGCCGUUUCCAAAAACUUCCGGUUGAGCAAAAUUUCAGGUGUGUGAGAAAUUUGUCCGUUC
rnacentral:pre_miRNA from 1 species